rnacentral:rRNA from 1 species
UAGUCAUAUGCUUGUCUUAAAGACUAAGCCAUGCAUGUCUAAGUAUAAGUAUUAUACGUCGAAACUGCGAAUGGCUCAUUAAAUCAGUUAUAGUUUACUUGGUUGAUACCUACUACUUGGAUAACUGUAGUAAUUCUAGAGCUAAUACAUGCAAAACACCCCGACUUCGCGGAAGGGGUGCGCUUAUUAGAUACAAACCCAAUGCAGCAAUGCUUUUUGGUGAGUCUAGAUAAUCUUCCGAUCGUAUGACCUAGUGUCGACGACCGACCAAUCAAGUUUCUGCCCUAUCAACUUUGGAUGGUAGUGUAUUGGACUACCAUGGUGAUAACGGGUGACGGGGAAUUAGGGUUCGAUUCCGGAGAGGGAGCCUUAAAAACGGCUACCACUUCCAAGGAAGGCAGCAGGCGCGCAAAUUACCCAAUCCUGAUACAGGGAGGUAGUGACAAGAAAUAACGAUGCUGGCCCUUCAUAGGGCUAGCAAUCGGAAUGAGCACAAUGUAAACAUCUUAACGAGGAACAAUUG